CAGUCGCCGCGGUAAUACGAGGGGGGCAAGCGUUGUUCGGAUUUAUUGGGCGUAAAGGGUGCGUAGGCGGUUUGGCAAGUCUUGUGUGAAAUCUUCGGGCUCAACCCGAAGCCUGCACGAGAAACUACCGGGCUUGAGUAUUGGAAAGGUGAGUGGAAUUUCCGGUGUAGCGGUGAAAUGCGUAGAUAUCGGAAGGGACACCUGUGGCGAAAGCGGCUCACUGGACAAUAACUGACGCUGAUGCACGAAAGCUAGGGGAGCAAACAGGAUUAGAUACCCGCGUAGUCCCUGUCUCUUAUAC
rnacentral:rRNA from 1 species